GAUGAACGCUGGCGGCGUGCCUAAUACAUGCCAGUCGAGCGAACGGAUGAGAAGCUUGCUCCUCUGACGUUAGCGGCGGACGGGUGAGUAACACGUGGAUAACCUACCUAUAAGACUGGGAUAACUUCGGGAAACCGGAGCUAAUACCGGAUAAUAUAUUGAACCGCAUGGUUCAAUAGUGAAAGACGGUUUUGCUGUCACUUAUAGAUGGAUCCGCGCUGCAUUAGCUAGUUGGUAAGGUAACGGCUUACCAAGGCGACGAUGCGUAGCCGACCUGAGAGGGUGAUCGGCCACACUGGAACUGAGACACGGUCCAGACUCCUACGGGAGGCAGCAGUAGGGAAUCUUCCGCAAUGGGCGAAAGCCUGACGGAGCAACGCCGCGUGAGUGAUGAAGGUCUUCGGAUCGUAAAACUCUGUUAUUAGGGAAGAACAAAUGUGUAAGUAACUAUGCACGUCUUGACGGUACCUAAUCAGAAAGCCACGGCUAACUACGUG
rnacentral:rRNA from 1 species